UAUGUUAUGGAUUUUAGGGUUGUUUCUUUCUGGCUGGUGGAAACUUGGAUUUCAGUACGGGAUCAUGGCUAUUGGGUUUUAUGGGUGUUUUAGGGUCUUUCCUGUUCAUUUGGGUGAAUCUGAAAAUGUUCUCUUGAUAAAAAAUAAAAUCCCAGAAAUAAUAAUUUUCAUGUAGAACAAGGUGCAAUUAAGUUUUUUUUUUCCUUGCUAGAAGCAUGUGCUUUGAAUCCAACACUUACUUUAGUCUUUGUUUUGCUGCAGUAGGAUUUCAAAAUUAAUAAUGGGCUAUAGACUUAUAUGUAUUGGAAUAUGGAUGAGCAUAAUUGUAGAAUCUUAUUUCAGUUGACCUAUGCAAAGCCUUGUUCUAAGCCAAUUUAAUUUAUAAUAAAAUUACAAUGAAUUCAAAUUUGAUGUUUCUCAUGGUAAAGUUUUUGAAUUUAAUAGCUUAGUGUUUAGUUGUUGAGCUAUUUCAAAUGCUAGUCGAACUUGAGCUAUUUCAAAUGCUCAAGUGUUCAGUCAUUGUUGAGAAGGUGGAGUCUAGGUCAUGCUCCCAAUGGAGGGUUCCCCCUGUUCCCAAUGAGUUUGAUUAAUUGGCUCAUAACAAGGUCUAUCCAUACGUACUAUCAACACAUAAGCUAUUUUUAAGAAAGAAUUUGUUAAGUAACCAGUUUAAUGAAUAAAUCCUUGUCUUUAAGAUUCUAGCUGUACAUCUUUGAAGCUGCAGGUGUAUGGUGAUUUAGGAAGAUUGUGGUGAUGCAGCUGUGGAGACUUUGAAUCAGUUCCUUGGUUGGUGCAAGCUCUCAUUAUUUUUCGUAAGCUGCAUUUAAAACUUAUCUGAGAAGUUGAAAAAACACAGAAUCAAGCAAGAGGUCUUGUGCGAUAAAAAGAGCGUUUGGCUGUUAUGAAGACAAGUUCAUUCCAAUUCCUAUUCCUCUCAUUGAUCUCCAUCAUCAGGCAUUCCUACAAGUAAAUCUGGGUUAUCAUCAUCAAUUGUAUCCUAAUUUCUUUUGCUUCUGUUUUUCUUAGAUGCAGCAAGAGUAGGAGGCUUAGAUGGAGUAUUGAUACCUUCGGCCUGGGAUCAAAAAUGGUACUGGAAAUCAUAACGGCAAACACUGAUACUGAUCAAACCUUGGUGGGAGGGGCCGUAAAUUAUGUAUAGACAUGAUGUUCUACUUUUUUAAGUUUGUAAAUAUAGCUUUAUCAUGUAAUUCAGUGAUGCAAUAGAAAUAUUUACUAUCAAUUUUUAUGAGGUUAAAUAAUUUAUUUAUUGGUGUAAUACUGGCAGUGGAAUGAUAAAAGAGGAUAAAAUUUUG